rnacentral:rRNA from 1 species
GUUGUAUGGUUAAGUGACUAAGCGUACACGGUGGAUGCCUAGGCAGUCAGAGGCGAUGAAGGACGUACUAACUUGCGAUAAGCGCAGAUAAGGCAGUAAGAGCCGUUUGAGUCUGCGAUUUCCGAAUGGGGAAACCCAACUGCAUAAGCAGUUACUGUUAACUGAAUACAUAGGUUAACAGAGCAAACCGGGGGAACUGAAACAUCUAAGUACCCCGAGGAGAAGAAAUCAACCGAGAUUCCGGUAGUAGCGGCGAGCGAACCUGGAUUAGCCCUUAAGCACUCGGUGAAGUAGGUGAACAAGCUGGAAAGCUUGGCGAUACAGGGUGAUAGCCCCGUAACCGACGCUUCAUCGAGCGUGAAAUCGAGUAGGGCGGGACACGUGAUAUCCUGUCUGAAUAUGGGGGGACCAUCCUCCAAGGCUAAAUACUCCUGACUGACCGAUAGUGAACCAGUACCGUGAGGGAAAGGCGAAAAGAACCCCUGUGAGGGGAGUGAAAUAGAACCUGAAACCGUGUACGUACAAGCAGUAGGAGCACCUUCGUGGUGUGACUGCGUACCUUUUGUAUAAUGGGUCAGCGACUUAUAUUCAGUGGCAAGGUUAACCGUAUAGGGGAGCCGUAGCGAAAGCGAGUCUUAACUGGGCGCUCAGUCUCUGGAUAUAGACCCGAAACCGGGUGAUCUAGCCAUGGGCAGGUUGAAGGUUGAGUAACAUCAACUGGAGGACCGAACCGACUAAUGUUGAAAAAUUAGCGGAUGACUUGUGGCUAGGGGUGAAAGGCCAAUCAAACUCGGAGAUAGCUGGUUCUCCCCGAAAGCUAUUUAGGUAGCGCCUCGGACGAAUACUACUGGGGGUAGAGCACUGUUAAGGCUAGGGGGUCAUCCCGACUUACCAACCCUUUGCAAACUCCGAAUACCAGUAAGUACUAUCCGGGAGACACACGGCGGGUGCUAACGUCCGUCGUGGAGAGGGAAACAACCCAGACCGCCAGCUAAGGUCCCAAAGUAUUGCUAAGUGGGAAACGAUGUGGGAAGGCUCAGACAGCUAGGAUGUUGGCUUAGAAGCAGCCAUCAUUUAAAGAAAGCGUAAUAGCUCACUAGUCGAGUCGGCCUGCGCGGAAGAUGUAACGGGGCUAAGCAAUACACCGAAGCUGCGGCAAUAUCUUUUAGAUAUUGGGUAGGGGAGCGUUCUGUAAGCCGUUGAAGGUGGUCUGUAAGGGCUGCUGGAGGUAUCAGAAGUGCGAAUGCUGACAUGAGUAACGACAAAGGGGGUGAAAAACCUCCUCGCCGGAAGACCAAGGGUUCCUGUCCAACGUUAAUCGGGGCAGGGUGAGUCGACCCCUAAGGUGAGGCCGAAAGGCGUAAUCGAUGGGAAACGGGUUAAUAUUCCCGUACUUCUGACUAUUGCGAUGGGGGGACGGAGAAGGCUAGGUGGGCCAGGCGACGGUUGUCCUGGUUCAAGUGCGUAGGCUU